rnacentral:rRNA from 1 species
AUUGAACGCUGGCGGCAUGCCUUACACAUGCAAGUCGAACGGUAACAGGCCUUUCGGGGUGCUGACGAGUGGCGAACGGGUGAGUAAUGCAUCGGAACGUGCCCAGUGGUGGGGGAUAACCCCGAGAAAUCGGGGCUAAUACCGCAUGAGCCCGAGAGGGGAAAGCGGGGGACCUGAUGAGGGCCUCGCGCGACUGGAGCGGCCGAUGUCCGAUUAGCUGGUUGGUGGGGUAAAGGCCCACCAAGGCGACGAUCGGUAGCGGGUCUGAGAGGACGGC